AUUGAACGCUGGCGGCAUGCCUUACACAUGCAAGUCGAACGGCAGCACGGGAGCAAUCCUGGUGGCGAGUGGCGAACGGGUGAGUAAAGUAUCGGAACGUGCCCAGUCGUGGGGGAUAACGUAGCGAAAGUUACGCUAAUACCGCAUACGAUCUAUGGAUGAAAGCGGGGGAUCGCAAGACCUCGCGCGAUUGGAGCGGCCGAUAUCAGAUUAGGUAGUUGGUGGGGUAAAGGCUCACCAAGCCGACGAUCUGUAGCUGGUCUGAGAGGACGACCAGCCACACUGGGACUGAGACACGGCCCAGACUCCUACGGGAGGCAGCAGUGGGGAAUUUUGGACAAUGGGCGCAAGCCUGAUCCAGCCAUGCCGCGUGCAGGAUGAAGGCCUUCGGGUUGUAAACUGCUUUUGUACGGAACGAAAAGGUUUGGCUUAAUACGUUGAACUCAUGACGGUACCGUAAGAAUAAGCACCGGCUAACUACGUGCCAGCAGCCGCAGUAA
rnacentral:rRNA from 1 species